UACGUAGGGUGCAAGCGUUAAUCGGAAUUACUGGGCGUAAAGCGUGCGCAGGCGGUUUCGCAAAUCAGAUGUGAAAGCCCCGGGCUUAACCUGGGAAUUGCAUUUGAAACUACGAGGCUAGAGUGUGUCAGAGGGGGGUAGAAUUCCACGUGUAGCAGUGAAAUGCGUAGAGAUGUGGAGGAAUACCGAUGGCGAAGGCAGCCCCCUGGGAUAACACUGACGCUCAUGCACGAAAGCGUGGGGAGCAAACAGG
rnacentral:rRNA from 1 species